AUUGAACGCUGGCGGCAGGCCUAACACAUGCAAGUCGAACGAGUGGCGGACGGGUGAGUAAUGUCUGGGAAACUGCCCGAUGGAGGGGGAUAACUACUGGAAACGGUAGCUAAUACCGCAUAUCAUCGGACGUGCCAAGGUGGGAUUAGCUAGUAGGUGGGGUAACGGCUCACUUAGGCGACGAUCCCUAGCUGGUCUGAGAGGAUGACCAGCCACACUGGAAAUGAGACACGGCCCAGACUCCUACGAGAGGCAGCAGUAGGGAAUAUUGCACAAUGGGCGCAAGCCUGAUGCAGCCAUGCCGCGUGAAUGAAGAAGGCCUUCGGGUUGUAAAGUACUGUCGUCGGGGAAGCGGUAAUCGCAGAGGAAGCAACGGCUAACUACGUGCCAGCAGCCGCGGUAAUAC
rnacentral:rRNA from 1 species